rnacentral:lncRNA from 1 species
AAGGAAUCACACCGACAUCAAGACGAUGGGAGACUUCCAUAAAAAUAUGAUCUCAUGCCAGAACAGAUCGGCCUUCUGGGAUCCAAGAUGAAGUCUAACAAAAAAAGGAGAAACAAGCUGGGACGUGACACCUGUGCUGCUCCCCGUGUGCCCAUGGCAGCCGGAACCCGGCCCUGGGGAGGAAAGGCACCACGUGGCGGGUGUUAGGAGGGCACCUGCUGCCCGUAACAUCCCCACCACGCGUGGUUGGGAGCCCCAGCCUGAUGCUGACCGGCUCCCUGAUGGUCCUCCACAGCUGGGGCACCACACAAAAGUCUCCUCCUGCCUGAAGCCCCAGCAAGAGACUGGGACCCAGUGCAGUGUGUCAAACUGGUCUGAGCACCAGGGCUGAGUGUCAGGAAGAGUGGUUACCUGUGGCAUCACUCCAGUGGGCUCAAACUGGAUAAAGCCAGCAUUUUAGACAAUUGCUCUAAUCGCUAGGAAGAAGCGCGACAAAAGUUGGUGUAUGGACGGGCAUUUGGACCUCUAACUCCUGUGGGAAGCUGUUCCCUUUCCAGUCCAAGGAGUCUCAUAUGAACAAAAGUUAUUACUUCUUUCACCUUUCAUCUGAGUUUAUUUCGAGAACUGAAGAAUUAGUUGGAGCUCCGUGAGAUGAAAUCUGAACCUUCACCUAUUGCAGGAACCACACAGAACCAUAGGAUCAUUCAGGUUGGAAAAGACCUUCAAAGUCACCAAGUCCAACCAUCAGCCUGGCCUACAGAGACCCAUCACUAAACCACCUCCCUUGGUGCCACAUCCAUGUGUCUCUUGAAUACCUCCAGGGAUGGGGACUCCACCCCUUCUCCGGGCAGAGUCUCGUGCUAUGCCACCAGGUCCAAAAUCAGCUCUGGUGGCUUUGCCCAAGAGGCUCAGCAUUGCAUUAGUAGCAUGUAUUAUUAUGGAGCUAACAUUAGGAUUUUCCCAUCAUUUGCCACAACUUUGUGCUUCUCGGUGCAGCAUUGCCUGCCAUUAGGUUGCCCGUUCACUCAGCUCUGCAAGAUGUGUUGUCACCCCUCCAGAAGCAGGUUGGAUUUGAUAGCAUCAGAUUCAUCCAUCCUGGGUAUUUCUGUGCUAUCCACACACCCCCCUGUCCCACUCUUUCCCAGAAGAGGGGACCACUGCUCUGCAGCAGAGCCCCCUGCUGCCUUUUCCCGUGAGCUCUCCAUGCCCUGACUGCACUCAGACACAGAAGCCUUUACACAGAGAAAUAAAAUAAAUAAAUAAAUAAAUAAGGAAUUUCUUGCAAAUCUUUAUUAAAAAUGUAUCUAAAGAACGUCUGGUGGAGAAGCAUGAAGGCAGAGUGAAAGCCAAGGCACCUUCAAAUGGGUCUGAACUGCUGCUUUCCAGAAAUUCAAUUACAUUCAAAGACAAAGUGUUUCGGGCUUUUAUGGGAAGAAGCACGCAGCUGUAAUGAAACACUUUCAGGCAGGGGAUUAGUCGCACUGCUGGAAAAAUAAAAUCAUGGACCGAAAUGCUUAACAAGAGGAUAUGAAGUCAGCGUGGCAGGUUGCUCAUACAACAGCAGUGGCUGAGACCUUGUGGCUGUCUCAGCAAAACACUGGGAGUGUGACGUAGGUGUCCAGCACCUCUCCUAAUCGCCCUGUUUCUGCACAAGGCAUUACGGCUCUCACUGUUUCCUUCCCUCUCUCAGUGUUAUUUCACACCCAGGGUUUGAUGGAAAGGGACUGUCUUGAUUUCUAGUCCUGGCCUAGAAGCUCACCUUGUACCACAAUCACUUUUUCAUCUUUUUUCCAAGAGGCCUAGAAAGAGCCUUACUUUUUUCCUCCUAGAUGUAUUUGGCCAUAUAUUUCUGCGUGUUCAGCAUCACCCCUGUAGCCUGACACCUUUGCAUGUGAAAAAAUAGAAAGUGUCUGAAAAGCUAGUAUGAAAAAUUGCUUUACAAAGCAUCAGCAGAACAGACCCCUGGAGCCCACCUGCUCCAACCCCUGUCCAAGCAGGGCCACCCGGAGCAGGCUGCCCAGGCCCAUCUCCAGGCAGUCCUGCAGCCUCUUCCAGCAGCCUUUAUCCAUCUCAGGCUCGGCACGUAUCUGCAGAUCAUGUCUCUGGCUGCUGGAUUUCUUCAGCAAUCACUCAGUAUCGUUUCAUAAAGGAGAGGAAGAACAUUCGCACUCCUAAUGAAUGUAGUUGUCAUCACUUGUCAGUUUCGUGCACUGAGGUCUCAGUUAGGUAGGGUAAUUAUCAUU